rnacentral:piRNA from 2 species
CUCAUCUGUAAAAUGGGGAUAAUAAUAAG